CCUACGGGAGGCAGCAGCAAGGAAUUUUGGGCAAUGGGCGAAAGCCUGACACAGCGACGCCGCGUGGGGGAUGAAGGCCUUCGGGAAGUAAACCCCUUUUCUCAGGGAAGAAUAAUGACGGUACCUCAGGAAUAAGCCCCGGC
rnacentral:rRNA from 1 species